AUUAGCUAUUUAAAGUGCUGCGACUGCGCGCCACUGAAACCUCUCCACGGUGCCAAUAAGGACGCGGAUCUCAGGACGUGCAGGACGAGGCAGCGCAGCAAGGACACAGAGUGAAGCACAUUUUAAUGAGGGGACGCAGAUAAAGAGUGAAUAGACGCGUAGACAGCGAGACGAAAAUCAGCAGUAUCCAGUAUUUCAUCGGGCAUCUCUAUCAUGGGUGUGAAGAUGUUACAGUGCUUUCCCUUCUACAGACGCUGCAAAGAGCGCUGCAAGAGCAGGCAGUGCCCGCCCCCUCCAGUGCCUGUGGAGGAGAUGAAGCCACGUCUGUCCUCUACGACAUCCUGGGGGAGUGACAGCGAAGGAACAGGAAGCAUCAAUCGGGGUUCCCAGAUCUAUUUCUCCACCAAGGCCCGGCUUUCUUUCAGACACCAGCUGGACAGCAACAUCAAUGCAGUGGAUGCCACCUACUGAGGAAGACCC